UGACAAUGCUGCUUGAAUGAAUACAUUGG
rnacentral:piRNA from 1 species